AGGUUCCGUAAAAUGGCAGCGGGUAGAGUUCUUGUCCUGCACAAAGGAAGGUUACUUCGGUAGAACGUCGGAAAAAUUAUAGCCGGGGUUAGGAUACCUCUCGAGAAGCAGUAUAUGCCUCGCUAGCACACAAGAACAGUCAGGACCAUGUACGAAUCGGACGAACAGUUGGGGCUAUGUCACACCACCAAUCAAACACCGCGCCGGGACCCGUGUCUCGCUCGCAGCCGCGCCGGCACCCGUGGAUCGCUGGAAGCCUCGCCGGCACCCGUGUCUCGCUGGCAGCCGCGCCGGCACGGGGGGCAAAGUUUGAAGAAACAGGCCUCGCACACCUGAUCCGACGACAAACUUUGAAGAAACAGUUCAAAUCCACAUGAUCCGAACGCAAACCUGGAAGCGUGGAGAAUCAGGCCUUGACUGCCCCGCUCGAAAGAUAGGUUUUGAAAAAUAUUUGUUGUAUAUGGAAAGAGCAAAAAUAUUAGAUUAAACUGUUGUUUAUGGAAGCUUCUCGUGACGGAAUUUUCCGAUAUGAUUCCAUAUGAUUUGAUUUGAUUGGUGUCGUAAAUUGAAGGGAAGGAUGGAAGGUUUGUUGUUUUA